rnacentral:rRNA from 1 species
GACGAACGCUGGCGGCGUGCUUAACACAUGCAAGUCGAACGGAAAGGCCCUGCUUUUGUGGGGUGCUCGAGUGGCGAACGGGUGAGUAACACGUGAGUAACCUGCCCUUGACUUUGGGAUAACUUCAGGAAACUGGGGCUAAUACCGGAUAGGGGCUCCUGCUGCAUGGUGGGGGUUGGAAAGUUUCGGCGGUUGGGGAUGGACUCGCGGCUUAUCAGCUUGUUGGUGGGGUAGUGGCUUACCAAGGCUUUGACGGGUAGCCGGCCUGAGAGGGUGACCGGCCACAUUGGGACUGAGAUACGGCCCAGACUCCUACGGGAGGCAGCAGUGGGGAAUAUUGCACAAUGGGCGGAAGCCUGAUGCAGCAACGCCGCGUGCGGGAUGACGGCCUUCGGGUUGUAAACCGCUUUCGCCUGUGACGAAGCGUGAGUGACGGGAAUGGGGAAAGAAGCACCGGCUAACUACGU